rnacentral:rRNA from 1 species
AGAGUUUGAUCCUGGCUCAGAUUGAACGCUGGCGGCAUGCUUUACACAUGCAAGUCGAACGGCAGCGGGGGCUUCGGCCUGCCGGCGAGUGGCGAACGGGUGAGUAAUGCAUCGGAACGUGCCCAGUCAUGGGGGAUAACUACGCGAAAGCGUAGCUAAUACCGCAUACGCCCUGAGGGGGAAAGCGGGGGAUCGCAAGACCUCGCGUGAUUGGAGCGGCCGAUGUCGGAUUAGCUAGUUGGUGGGGUAAAGGCCUACCAAGGCGACGAUCCGUAGCGGGUCUGAGAGGAUGAUCCGCCACACUGGGACUGAGACACGGCCCAGACUCCUACGGGAGGCAGCAGUGGGGAAUUUUGGACAAUGGGGGCAACCCUGAUCCAGCCAUGCCGCGUGAGUGAAGAAGGCCUUCGGGUUGUAAAGCUCUUUCAGACGGAAAGAAAUCGGGUGGGUGAAUAUCCUGCCUGGAUGACGGUACUGUCAGAAGAAGCACCGGCUAACUACGUGCCAGCAGCCGCGGUAAUA